CUUUUACUUCAGGACCUCUUCUUUGGAACCGAAGGGAACUGCAGGAUCUGUCUCUCCCUUCAGGGCCUCCUCAUGGCUGUCUAUGGCCUUGAUGAUACCUCCGCUGCUCUUCCAAUAAGGCUCCCCUUAAAAGUCCAUGAUGGCCAGAGAUGGCCUCAGAGGCUGAAGGAGGCUGGGAAGAUUGGUUCCAAGGUAUUACACUGCACAGCAAAGGCUUCCAGAAAUCUCAUCACUAAGUUGGUUUGCCUGGCAAUUUUCUGCCAUUGAGAUCAUGUUGGGUUUCUCCCAGGAGCUUCGAAGUCCACUUGUCCUUUAGGAAGGCAUCACUGGGCUACACUUCUAUUGGAACAGAGCAUGGAUACUUGUCUGAGAAGAAGAUGUCUUAACUAUGGCUGUCCCUGAGCAAAGGCCCAGCUGCUGAGAGUCCUACUAUGCGUAACACAGCAUGCCCACCUUACACUUUUUCUCUGUGUGAGCUGAGUUAGAGCUGUGGUGGUCUGGGAAGCGAGAGUGUCUUCAUGUCAAAUGUCUCAGGUGGCUGAGGUGAUCACCACGCACAAGCACAGGAAAUACUCUUUACCCUGUCUCUUUCAUGGUUUAUAAAUCUGUGUAUAUGGAUGUGAGUCAACAGAAAGAUAACUUGUCAGGUUCCGUUCAGUGCCAACAUUAGCAACAGACAGUUUAUAGUCACAUGGUUUACCUAAAGAAGGGGGUGGGUGGGAGAUGGAGAGAAGGGAGAGCCAUGUGGCUGGGGACAGUGACACAUGCCUGAGAGAUGGAGGCAGGAGGAUUAUAAGUCCCGAGCUAGCCUCAACUACAUAGAAAGACAGUUUCUACAAAAACAAAUGAGUAGAUAAAUAAGCACAAUUUC
ensembl:antisense Lyrm7os LYR motif containing 7, opposite strand